GCGGCAGGUAGGCUCGGGGAGCUCGCCAUUCCCUACACCCGAAACUGGCGACACGCGGGGAGCUGAUAACCAUGGGGACAGGGCUGCCUACACGCAGCCGGCAGCAGCAGGUCUGUGAAAGCCAUCCCUACUGGGCAGGAGCAGCAGCCCGGCCCACUGUAGGGUGGGUACGACUGCCUAACUAUCAAAUCCGCCAGGCCCGGGAGGGAGCAGCGGUACGAUAGGCUACCUGCGUUUGUAAGAGGUGGCUGGAGGGCGAACCUGCUGGAUGCUGGUUGCGUCGGAGGGGCUCGAUCCUCGUGGGGCUGCCGC
rnacentral:SRP_RNA from 1 species